GAUGAAGAACGCAGCGAAAUGCGAUAAGUAAUGUGAAUUGCAGAAUCCAGUGAAUCAUCGAAUCUUUGAACGCACAUUGCGCCCGCCAGCAUUCUGGCGGGCAUGCCUGUUCGAGCGUCAUUUCAACCCUCGACCUCCCUUUGGGGAAGUCGGCGUUGGGGACCGGCAGCACACCGCCGGCCCUGAAAUGGAGUGGCGGCCCGUCCGCGGCGACCUCUGCGUAAUAAUCCAACUCGCACCGGAACCCCGACGCGGCCACGCCGUAAAACACCCAACUUCUGAACGUUGACCUCGAAUCAGGUAGGACUACCCGCUGAACUUAAGCAUAUCAAUAAGCGGAGGA
rnacentral:misc_RNA from 1 species